rnacentral:rRNA from 1 species
UGGGGAAUCUUAGACAAUGGGCGCAAGCCUGAUCUAGCCAUGCCGCGUGAGUGAUGAAGGCCUUAGGGUUGUAAAGCUCUUUCAGCUGGGAAGAUAAUGACGGUACCAGCAGAAGAAGCCCCGGCUAACUCCGUGCCAGCAGCCGCGGUAAUACGGAGGGGGCUAGCGUUGUUCGGAAUUACUGGGCGUAAAGCGCACGUAGGCGGACCAAAAAGUCAGAGGUGAAAUCCCAGGGCUCAACCUUGGAACUGCCUUUGAAACUCUUGGUCUUGAGUUCGAGAGAGGUGAGUGGAAUUCCGAGUGUAGAGGUGAAAUUCGUAGAUAUUCGGAGGAACACCAGUGGCGAAGGCGGCUCACUGGCUCGAGACUGACGCUGAGGUGCGAAAGCGUGGGGAGCAAACAGG